GACGAACGCUGGCGGCAGGCCUAACACAUGCAAGUCGAACGAGUGGCGGACGGGUGAGUAAUGUCUGGGAAACUGCCUGAUGGAGGGGGAUAACUACUGGAAACGGUAGCUAAUACCGCAUACCAUCGGAUGUGCCCAGAUGGGAUGAGCUAGUAGGUGGGGUAACGGCUCACCUAGGGGACGAUCCCUAGCCGGUCUGCGAGGAUGACCAGCCACACUGGAACUGAGAAAUGGUCUAGACUCCUACGGGAGGCAGCAGUGGGGAAUAUGGCACAAUGGGCGCAAGCCGGAUGCAGCCAUGCGGCGUGUAGGAAGAAGGCCUUCGGGUUUUAAAGUACUUUCAGCGGGGAGGCGUUACCCGCAGAAGAAGCACCGGCUAACUCCGUGCCAGCAGCCGCGGUAAUAC
rnacentral:rRNA from 1 species